rnacentral:misc_RNA from 1 species
AUUGGGAGAAAAUAACAAGGAUGUCAAGAAAUCUGAAGUUCCUAAAGAAGACAAGACUUAUUUUGAAUCUUCUUCCGAGGAAAAAUGGAUAAAUAAUCGGAUUGAUGUGCAAGCAAGUCAGCAGCCACAUACUUUUGAGGGGGAAGGAAUGAACAUGGGAAUAUCUCAAGAGGAGAGAACAAACCAAAGCACUGAUAAAAAGGAGAAGUAUCUUGAAAAUAUGACGGUUGAAAAGAGGAAAGCUGAAGGUAAUUUGCAAGAGGAAAUGGAAUCGGAAAAGAGACAUCAUGGAAGAAAGGAAGAAACAAAAGUUAGGGGAAUAGAAAAGGAAAGAAUAGUUGUGGAAAGGGCAAUCCGAGAAGCUCGUGAAAGG